UACAGAGGGUGCGAGCGUUAAUCGGAAUUACUGGGCGUAAAGCGUGCGUAGGCGGUUAUUUAAGUCGGAUGUGAAAGCCCCGGGCUCAACCUGGGAAUUGCAUUCGAGACUGAAUAGCUAGGGUACGGUAGAGGGAAGCGGAAUUUCCGGUGUAGCGGUGAAAUGCGUAGAUAUCGGAAGGAACAUCAGUGGCGAAAGCGGCUCACUGGCCCGGUACUGACGCUGAGGUGCGAAAGCGUGGGGAGCAAACAGG
rnacentral:rRNA from 1 species